rnacentral:rRNA from 1 species
GACGAACGCUGGCGGCGUGCUUAACACAUGCAAGUCGAACGGAAAGGCCCUGCUUUUGUGGGGUGCUCGAGUGGCGAACGGGUGAGUAACACGUGAGUAACCUGCCCUUGACUUUGGGAUAACUUCAGGAAACUGGGGCUAAUACCGGAUAGGAGCUCCUGCUGCAUGGUGGGGGUUGGAAAGUUUCGGCGGUUGGGGAUGGACUCGCGGCUUAUCAGCUUGUUGGUGGGGUAGUGGCUUACCAAGGCUUUGACGGGUAGCCGGCCUGGGAGGGUGACCGGCCACAAUGGGACUGAGAUACGGCCCAGACGCCUACGGGAGGCAGCAGGGGGGAAUAUUGCACAAUGGGCGGAAGCCUGAUGCAGCAACGCCGCGUGCGGGAUGACGGCCUUCGGGUUGUAAACCGCUUUCGCCUGUGACGAAGCGUGAGUGACGGUAAUGGGUAAAGAAGCACCGGCUAACUACGUG